rnacentral:rRNA from 1 species
GAGUUUGAUUCUGGCUCAGGAUGAACGCUGGCGGCGUGCUUAACACAUGCAAGUCGAACGAAGCGGGAAGGAAGAAGUUUUUCGAAAUGGAUUUUUUCUUUGCUUAGUGGCGGACGGGUGCGUAACACGUAGGUAACCUGCCCUGUGCUUGGGAAUAACUCCGGGAAACCGGUGCUAAUGCCGAAUAAUAUCGCCUGUCGGCAUCGAGAGGCGAUCAAAGAAUUUUGGCACAGGAUGGGCCUGCGCCGGAUUAGCUGGUUGGUGAGGUAACGGCUCACCAAGGCGACGAUCCGUAGCCGACCUGAGAGGGUGAUCGGCCACACUGGAACUGAGACACGGUCCAGACUCCUACGGGAGGCAGCAGUGGGGAAUAUUGCACAAUGGGGGAAACCCUGAUGCAGCAACGCCGCGUGAGCGAUGAAGGCUUUCGAGUCGUAAAGCUCUGUCCUAUGGGAAGAUGAUGACGUACCAUAGGAGGAGCCCC